UGCGCCUUUAAUUCAGUCCCGUGAGGCUGGCAAGGUAACGUGAAUCGAGGUUCGCGACUUAAGGAAGGAAUCCGUAUGAGUACGGAGGGCCUUUUUAUGCGCGCGGACACGCCAUCUUUUUGAAUCUGCGGAUUUCACUCCUUGCCUGCUUUGGGCAAGGAGUUUUUUGAU
rfam:Paenibacillus sp. FSL H7-0357, complete genome.